rfam:Gossypium hirsutum cultivar TM-1 unplaced genomic scaffold scaffold26.1, whole genome shotgun sequence
UGUUAAGAAAUUUAUUUAUUUCUAUUAUUAAAAAUUAGCGGCACUAAUAAAAUAAUCAACAGUUUCAUAUGGCAUGGCAUCUGUACCUCAUUCUGACUUGUAAGAAACAGUUUUUAAUAGUAAAAAUAGAUUAAAUUUUUAACA